UAGGAGAUUGAAGAGAUUAAUCUCUCUUUUGUCUAUUCGAUGGGUUCUCUUAUAACAUAUAGGGAUGUCAUUGUGAUCCGAUUUCAUGAAGAAGAAAAGCAAACUAAUUUUUAUAAAUUAUUUUGAUCAUAAAUAUAUUUAGAUUAGAUUUAUAAUAAUUAUAAUUUAUUAUAAUAAGAUAAAACUUAGAUAUAAAAUUAUU
rnacentral:lncRNA from 1 species